rnacentral:lncRNA from 1 species
AAUAUCACUAUAAGCCAUUCAAUUCAAACCAUAAAUUUACAACACAAUCAAAUAGUCUCCAAUUACUCAAUUUCUAAAAUCAUCAUUCAAUUUCAAAAUGAUUUAUAAAACUCAUUUCAUUUAAUCACAUUUUACUUAUAAAACAUAAGGAUUUACCAUUUAAACUCAUUUUUCUAUAAAAUCACAAAAACGAAUAAAAACUACUUUAGAUAAUUAAGAAGAUAAUAAGGUUACUCACAAUAUCGGGAGUCGAAGUACUCCUAGUCCUGGUCUUCGGGUACAAUCUCCUUACCUUUAUCGGAAGUUUCACCACCUAAACAUAAUGCACAACAAGCAAUUUACUAUAUUUGUACUAAACCGUUAUAAAACUAAUUUAGGCUCUAUAUGAAUGCAUGAAAUGGGAUGCGAAAUGUUCGGAUUAUUAUCUAAAUAUGGUGUUCUACGUAGCUUCAAUUAUGUAUCGAAAUAAAAUGGUAUUGGCCUAAUUCGAUCUAUACACCGGUUAAUUGGCCAAUACAUCCAAUUCAACUCCAAUUAACUUGAUUCCACUUCCAACACUCCAAGUCAUCAAUUACAAGUUAAAUAAUAUGUAAUAUCACAAAAAUCCAUCAUCAAUAUCUUCCUUGUAAAAUUCAGCCAUUGAAGGUUUAGUGUAGAACAUGUAAUUUUCAUGCUUGAUUUUUACACCUUACAUCAUAAAACAACUAAAAACACCUAAAUAGCAUGAAAUUCAUCAAAGUCCAUUAUCCAAUUUCUCUCUUGAAAAUUUCAGCCAAGGAGUGUGGGUGAAGGGCAUGAAAUUUCUUGCUUGUUUUUCAUGCUAAACAUCACCAAACAACUAAAAACACUAAGAUACCUUGAAAUCUAACCAAAUAAAUCAUCAAAUCUUCUCUCCCUAAAUUCGGUCAGCCAUGAAUCCUUCAUGAGAUCUUGAAUUUUAACCAUGGUAAUUGAAAAAGAAUGCAUAGAAAAGGUAGAUCACAAGCUAGAAUUAAGAAAUUUUACCUUUACUUGCUUAAUUCCUUGAAAUCCAAUGAAUUUUCUCUUGAUUUUCUUCUCUAGGGUUUGUUCUAUGCUUUUUCCCUUUUGUUCUUG